rnacentral:rRNA from 1 species
UGGCUCAGGAUGAACGCUGGCGGCGUGCUUAACACAUGCAAGUCGAACGGACUCAUAUUGAAACCUAGUGAUUUAUGAGUUAGUGGCGGACGGGUGAGUAACGCGUGGAAAACCUGCCGUAUACUGGGGGAUAACACUUAGAAAUAGGUGCUAAUACCGCAUAAGCGCACAGCUUCGCAUGAAGUGGUGUGAAAAACUCUGGUGGUAUACGAUGGUUCCGCGUCUGAUUAGCUUGUUGGCGGGGUAAUGGCUCACCAAGGCGACGAUCAGUAGCCGGCCUGAGAGGGUGAACGGCCACAUUGGGACUGAGACACGGCCCAAACUUCUACGGGAGGCAGCAGUGGGGAAUAUUGCACAAUGGGGGAAACCCUGAUGCAGCGACGCCGCGUGAGUGAAGAAGUAUUUCGGUAUGUAAAGCUCUAUCAGCAGGGAAGAAAAUGACGGUACCUGAUUAAGAAGCCCCGGCUAACUACGUGCCAGCAGCCGCGGUAAUACGUAGGGGGCAAGC